rnacentral:rRNA from 1 species
UCGCCCGCCGCGCGCGGCGGGCGGGGCGGGGGCACGGGGGGCCUACGGGAGGCAGCAGUAAGGAAUAUUGGUCAAUGGACGCAAGUCUGAACCAACCAUGCCGCGUGAAGGAUGAAGGCCCUCUGGGUUGUAAACGUCUUUUAUCUGGGACGAAACCUCUUAUUCUUAAGAGACUGACGGUACCAGAGGAAUAAGCACCGGCUAACUCCGUGCCAGCAGCCGCGGUAAUA